GUAAUACUCCCUCCGUUCCAAAUUACUCGUCGCAGAAAUUGAUGUAUCUAGAACUAAAAUACAUCUAGAUACAUCCAUACCUGCGACAAGUAAUUCAGAACGGAGGGAGUACUUU
rnacentral:pre_miRNA from 1 species